UACGUAGGGUGCGAGCGUUUAAUCGGAAUUACUGGGCGUAAAGGGCGCGUAGGCGGCACUGUUAGUCAGGCGUGAAAGUCCUGGGCUCAACCUGGGAACUGCGCUUGAUACGGCAGAGCUAGAGGAUGGAAGAGGGUCGCGGAAUUCCCAGUGUAGAGGUGAAAUUCGUAGAUAUUGGGAAGAACACCGGUGGCGAAGGCGGCGACCUGGUCCAUUACUGACGCUGAGGCGCGACAGCGUGGGGAGCAAACAGG
rnacentral:rRNA from 1 species